GAGGAGUGGCGAACGGGUGAGUAACACGUGGGUAACCUGCCCAUCAGAAGGGGAUAACACUUGGAAACAGGUGCUAAUACCGUAUAACAAUCGAAACCGCAUGGUUUUGAUUUGAAAGGCGCUUUCGGGUGUCGCUGAUGGAUGGACCCGCGGUGCAUUAGCUAGUUGGUGAGGUAACGGCUCACCAAGGCCACGAUGCAUAGCCGACCUGAGAGGGUGAUCGGCCACAUUGGGACUGAGACACGGCCCAAACUCCUACGGGAGGCAGCAGUAGGGAAUCUUCGGCAAUGGACGAAAGUCUGACCGAGCAACGCCGCGUGAGUGAAGAAGGUUUUCGGAUCGUAAAACUCUGUUGUUAGAGAAGAACAAGGAUGAGAGUAACUGUUCAUCCCUUGACGGUAUCUAACCAGAAAGCCACGGCUAACUACGUGCCAGCAGCCGCGGUAAUACGUAGGUGGCAAGCGUUGUCCGGAUUUAUUGGGCGUAAAGCGAGCGCAGGCGGUUUCUUAAGUCUGAUGUGAAAGCCCCCGGCUCAACCGGGGAGGGUCAUUGGAAACUGGGAGACUUGAGUGCAGAAGAGGAGAGUGGAAUUCCAUGUGUAGCGGUGAAAUGCGUAGAUAUAUGGAGGAACACCAGUGGCGAAGGCGGCUCUCUGGUCUGUAACUGACGCUGAGGCUCGAAAGCGUGGGGAGCAAACAGGAUUAGAUACCCUGGUAGUCCACGCCGUAAACGAUGAGUGCUAAGUGUUGGAGGGUUUCCGCCCUUCAGUGCUGCAGC
rnacentral:rRNA from 1 species